UACAGAGGGUGCAAGCGUUAAUCGGAAUUACUGGGCGUAAAGCGUGCACAGUCGGUUAUUAAGUCGGAUGUGAAAUCCCCGGGCUCAACCUGGGAAUUGCAUUCGAUACUGGAUGGCUAGAGUUCGGCAGAGGGAAGUGGAAUUUCAGGUGUAGCGGUGAAAUGCGUAGAUAAUCUGAAGGAACAUCAGUGGCGAAAGCGACUUCCUGAACCAGAACUGACGAUCAGGCACGAAAGCGUGGGGAGCAAACAGG
rnacentral:rRNA from 1 species